GGCUCAGGACGAACGCUGGCGGCGUGCCUAACACAUGCAAGUCGAACGGACACAGAGGAGCUUGCUCUUCUGUGUUAGUGGCGGACGGGUGAGUAACGCGUGAGCAACCUGCCUUACAGAGGGGGAUAACGUUUGGAAACGAACGCUAAUACCGCAUAACGUAUGAUUGUCACAUGGCAGACAUACCAAAGGAGCAAUCCGCUGUAGGAUGGGCUCGCGUCCGAUUAGAUAGUUGGCGGGGUAACGGCCCACCAAGUCGACGAUCGGUAGCCGGACUGAGAGGUUGAACGGCCACAUUGGGACUGAGACACGGCCCAGACUCCUACGGGAGGCAGCAGUGAGGGAUAUUGCACAAUGGGCGCAAGCCUGAUGCAGCCAACGCCGCGUGAGGGAUGACGGUUUUCGGAUUGUAAACCUCUGUCUUCGGUGAAGAUGAUGACAUUAGCCGAGGAGGAAGCCACGGCUAACUACGUGCCAGCAGCUGC
rnacentral:rRNA from 1 species